GCGGUAUUAUGACCGUGCGAAGGUAGCAUAAUCAUUAGUCUUUUAAUUGAAGGCUGGUAUGAAUGGUUGGACGAGAAAUGAGCUGUCUUUAAUUUAAAAAUUGAAUUUAACUUUUAAGUGAAAAGGCUUAAAUGAGUCAGAGGGACGAUAAGACCCUAUAAAGUUUGUACAGCGAGUUAGUAUGAAAUAGGUUAGAUGGGUAAAGUUUGUUACUAAGGAGAUGUUUGGUUGGGGCGAUUAGAAUAUAGGUGAAGUAACUGUUUCUUUUUUUGAGUCAAAAAUUUUUGAUUUAAUGACCCUUAAUAAGGAUUAUGAAAGCAAGUUACUUUAGGGAUAACAGCGUAAUUUUUUUUGAGAGUUCUUAUCGACAAAAGAGUUUGCGACCUCGAUGUUGAAUUAAAAUUUCUUUGUAAUGUAGCAGUUACAUUAGGAGG
rnacentral:rRNA from 1 species